rnacentral:rRNA from 1 species
GAUGAAUGCUGGCGGCGCGCCUAACACAUGCAAGUCGAGCGGUAACAGGAGUAAUUUAUUACUUGCUGACGAGCGGCGGACGGCUGAGUAACGCGUGGGAACAUGCCCCAAAGUGAGGAAUAACUGCCCGAAAGGGUAGCUAAUGCCGCAUAUGAUCUUAGGAUUAAAGGAUUUAUCCGCUUUGGGAGUGGCCCGCGUACGAUUAGGUAGUUGGUGAGGUAAUGGCUCACCAAGCCUACGAUCGUUAACUGGUCUGAGAGGAUGAUCAGUCAGACUGGAACUGAGACACGGUCCAGACUCCUACGGGAGGCAGCAGUGAGGAAUCUUCCACAAUGGGCGAAAGCCUGAUGGAGCGACGCCGCGUGCAGGAUGAAGGCCCUCGGGUUGUAAACUGCUUUUAUAAGUGAAGAAUAUGACGGUAACUUAUGAAUAGCACCGGCUAACUACGUGCCAGCAGCCGCC